rnacentral:rRNA from 1 species
UACUACAGCUUGGCACUGAACAUUGACCCUACAUGUGUAGGAUAGGUGGGAGGCUUUGAAGCACGUACGCCAGUAUGUGUGGAGCCGUCCUUGAAAUACCACCCUUGUAGUGUUGAUGUUCUAACGUUGACCCCUAAUCGGGGUUGCGGACAGUGCCUGGUGGGUAGUUUGACUGGGGCGGUCUCCUCCCAAAGAGUAACGGAGGAGCACGAAGGUGGGCUAAUCACGGUUGGACAUCGUGAGGUUAGUGCAAUG